rnacentral:rRNA from 1 species
AAUUUUGGACAAUGGGGGAAACCCUGAUCCAGCCAUCCCGCGUGUGCGAUGAAGGCCUUCGGGUUGUAAAGCACUGUUGUCAGGGAAGAAAAGGUUCUGGCGAUAACCCGGAACUGAUGACGGGACCAGAAGAAUAAGCCCGGCCCAACGACGUGCCAGCAGCCGCGGUAAUACGGAAGGUGCAAGCGUUAAUCGGAAUUACUGGGCGUAAAGCGUGAGCAGGCGGUUCGGAAAGAAGGAUGUGCAAUCCCAAGGCUCAACCUUGGAACUGCAUUCUUAACUACCGAACUAGAGUAUGUCAGAGGGGGGUAGAAUUCCGCGUGUAGCAGUGAAAUGCGUAGAUAUGCGGAGGAAUACCGAUGGCGAAGGCAGCCCCCUGGGAUAAUACUGACGCUCAUGCACGAAAGCGUGGGUAGCAAACAGG